CUUGCUCUGUGGGAUCAGUGGCGAACGGGUGAGUAACACGUGAGCAACCUGCCCCUGACUCUGGGAUAAGCGCUGGAAACGGCGUCUAAUACUGGAUACGAACCAUGAAGGCAUCUUCAGUGGUUGGAAAGAAUUUCGGUUGGGGAUGGGCUCGCGGCCUAUCAGCUUGUUGGUGAGGUAAUGGCUCACCAAGGCGUCGACGGGUAGCCGGCCUGAGAGGGUGACCGGCCACACUGGGACUGAGACACGGCCCAGACUCCUACGGGAGGCAGCAGUGGGGAAUAUUGCACAAUGGGCGCAAGCCUGAUGCAGCAACGCCGCGUGAGGGAUGACGGCCUUCGGGUUGUAAACCUCUUUUACCACGGAAGAAGCGAAAGUGACGGUACCUGCACAAAAAGCGCCGGCUAACUACGUGCCAGCAGCCGCGGUAAUACGUAGGUGCGCAAGCGUUAUCCGGAAUUAUUGGGCGUAAAGAGCUCGUAGGCGGUUUGUCGCGUCUGCUGUGAAAUCCGGAGGCUCAACCUCCGGCCUGCAGUGGGUACGGGCAGACUAGAGUGCGGUAGGGGAGAUUGGAAUUCCUGGUGUAGCGGUGGAAUGCGCAGAUAUCAGGAGGAACACCGAUGGCGAAGGCAGAUCUCUGGGCCGUAACUGACGCUGAGGAGCGAAAGGGUGGGGAGCAAACAGGCUUAGAUACCCUGGUAGUCCACCCCGUAAACGUUGGGAACUAGUUGUGGGGUCCAUUCCACGGAUUCCGUGACGCAGCUAACGCAUUAAGUUCCCCGCCUGGGGAGUACGGCCGCAAGGCUAAAACUCAAAGGAAUUGACGGGGACCCGCACAAGCGGCGGAGCAUGCGGAUUAAUUCGAUGCAACGCGAAGAACCUUACCAAGGCUUGACAUAUACGAGAACGGGCCAGAAAUGGUCAACUCUUUGGACACUCGUAAACAGGUGGUGCAUGGUUGUCGUCAGCUCGUGUCGUGAGAUGUUGGGUUAAGUCCCGCAACGAGCGCAACCCUCGUUCUAUGUUGCCAGCACGUAAUGGUGGGAACUCAUGGGAUACUGCCGGGGUCAACUCGGAGGAAGGUGGGGAUGACGUCAAAUCAUCAUGCCCCUUAUGUCUUGGGCUUCACGCAUGAUACAAUGGCCGGUACAAAGGGCUGCAAUACCGCGAGGUGGAGCGAAUCCCAAAAAGCCGGUCCCAGUUCGGAUUGAGGUCUGCA
rnacentral:rRNA from 1 species